rnacentral:misc_RNA from 1 species
CCAAACACAGUAGUAUUCUCGACCAGUAAGAUAUCGCCUUUCUUCUUUUGCUCUUUCUUGUGCAUCCCCUCCCCUAUAUACGACGUAGGAAUUCUCUGCACACCCUUUUGUGGCUCUUUUUCUUCUUAGCGAGCGUAAAGAUGGCUGGGAGGAUUUUGAUUGUCCCUCUUGCCGUUGCUCUCCUCGCGGUCGCAGUUGCGGCCAAGGAACCACUGAAUCCGAUUGCGACGCCGGCAAAUACCAACGUAGACAAAGCCGUUGCCCAGAAUGCAGGGGACAUUAACGCGGCGCCGUUAGCGCGCCCGCUGAUGUCGGCUGAGACGGCUUCCGUUGUGAUUGUCCUGGCGGCGGCAGUGGGCUUCUCCUUUGCCAUGUACUGGUGGUACGCCCUGUCAUUCAUCAAGAUUACCCCUGGUAAGGAUCAGGGCCUGCGCAAUGCCCAUCUCACGGACGAGGUGAUGCGCAACGUGUACGUAAUUUACACUCGCAUAUCCGAAGGCGCCACAGCGUUCUUGAUGUCCGAGUACAAGUACAUGGCCGUGUUCAUGUCUGGCUUCGGCACGCUGAUCUUCUUCCUUCUCGGCAUCGCGCUCUCUUCGCCUCAGGAGGGCCACGUGCCGCCGCAGUCCCCAUGGAUGAACGCUAGCCUCUCCCUGUUUGCUUUCCUGGUGGGUGCAGUCACGUCGGUGGGGGCAGGCUGGAUCGGCAUGCGCAUUGCCGUGUACACGAACGCGCGCACGGCUGUGAUGGCGACUUCUGGCGGCGAUGACGGCGAUCAGGCCAGCGGUUUUAGGCUCGGCUUCCAGACGGCUCUCCGCGGCGGUAUCACGAUGGGCUUUGGCCUCACUUCGAUGGGUCUCUUCGCGCUAUUCGCCACCGUGAAGGUUGUGGCGGCGUACUUUGGCAGCGGUGUCGAGACGAUACCGGAGCUGUACGAAUGCGUGGCGGCGUUUGGCCUUGGCGGGUCGGCCAUCGCCUGCUUCGGUCGUGUGGGUGGCGGCAUCUACACCAAGGCUGCCGAUGUUGGAGCUGAUCUUGUGGGCAAGGUGGAGAACAAUAUCCCUGAGGACGACCCGCGCAACCCUGGCGUGAUUGCCGACUGCAUUGGCGACAACGUGGGUGACAUCGCUGGCAUGGGCUCUGACCUCUUUGGCAGCUUCGGCGAGGCGUCAUGCGCUGCGCUCGUAGUGGCGGCCGGCUCUGCUGAGUUGACAGCCUCUUUCACAUCCAUGAUGUACCCGCUGCUCAUCACGGCCGUCGGUGUGAUCGUGUGCAUUGUAGUGGCCACUAUGGGCGCCACCAAUAGCGGCGUGCACCGCUCUCACGACAUCGAGCCGGCCCUGAAGCGUCAGUUGCUGUUGUCGACGAUCGGCGCGACAAUUGUGCUGAUCUUUCUCACCGAAGUGGCGCUGCCGCCGACCUUCAGCGUGGGCGGCAUGGAGAGCUCGCGCUGGGGCGCCCUCAUCUGCGUCCUGUGCGGUCUCUGGUCUGGCCUUAUCAUCGGCUACACAACCGAGUACUACACCUCCAAUGCCUACCGCCCAGUGCAGGAGAUUGCGGAGGCAUGCGAGACAGGUGCCGCCACGAACAUCAUCUACGGCCUGGCACUCGGUUACCUUUCUGUGGUGCCCCCAAUCCUCGCCAUGUGCACGACGAUCUAUGUGUCCUACCGCAUGUGCGGCGUGUACGGCUUUGCCCUCGCCGCGCUCGGUAUUCUCUCGACCAUGUCCGUCGCCCUGACGAUCGACGCGUACGGUCCCAUUUCCGAUAACGCCGGCGGUAUUGCGGAGAUGUCGCACAUGGGCCACGAGAUUCGCGAGAUCACGGAUGCACUGGAUGCGGCUGGCAACACAACCGCUGCCAUCGGCAAGGGCUUCGCCAUUGGUUCGGCUGCGCUUGUCGCGCUGGCACUCUACGGCGCCUACGUGUCGCGUGUGGCGAUCCCCGUGGUGAACAUCCUCGACUCGCGCGUGAUGCCUGGUCUGCUCUUCGGCGCCAUGCUGCCGUACUGGUUCUCCGCAAUGACGAUGAAGUCUGUCGGCGUUGCGGCCAUGGACAUGGUGAACGAAAUCCGCCGUCAGUUCCAGGACCCUGAAGUGGCUGAGGGCCGCAAGGAGCCAGACUACGAGAGCUGCGUGGCCAUUGCCACUAAGGCUGCUCUGAACCAGAUGAUUCCGCCGGCGGCGCUGGUGAUGCUGUCCCCGAUCGUGGUUGGCAUUCUCUUCGGGAAGUACACUCUGGCCGGUCUGCUGCCCGGCGCGAUCGUGUCAGGCGUGCAGAUGGCUAUCUCGGCCUCCAACACCGGCGGUGCGUGGGACAACGCGAAGAAGUAUAUUGAGCAGGGUGGCCUGCGUGACAAAAACAAGGGCAAAGGCUCCCCGCAGCACGGCGCCGCCGUCAUCGGUGACACCGUCGGCGACCCGCUCAAGGAUACCUCAGGCCCGGCGCUCAAUAUUCUCAUCAAGCUCAUGGCCAUCAUUUCCGUUGUGUUUGCACCGGUGUUCCAGUCGAAGAUGGGCGGUAUUGUGCUGAACCUUAUCGAGUAGGCCUGAGGGUGCUGUGGACAGGCUUGCCUCGCAGCCUACGGAAAUGCCACGGCGCCAGCCUCUUGUGUGUCGCUGUCUCUCUCUCUCUACAUUUGUGCACACCGCCAUUCUGCUCCUAGUACCACGACUCGGGUCUUUUUUUUCUCCAUGAGAGAGUUGUCACCCGAUGACCACAUUCACGAAUGCCCACACAUUAUGGUCGAAGCACGAAUCGUCGGAAGAUGCGAGGGGGAGUAGCAAAAAAGGGUUGCGCGUGUUUGUUGAUGUGAGUGGUGCCCCCCUUUUCCCCCUUUUCCCCCUUUUGCCGCAUCUUAGUCGCCACUCGCACCGUGAGGCCGGACUGUCCUCCUUUUUUCUUCUCGUGUACUCUGCCCUUCUCUUCCUUUCGUUUGUUUUUAUAUGCGUGCCGAGCUGGAAAGGACACACGCACACGCACGCACAGGAAAUCACGAACAGCGACACGAACGAACCCCUUCUUCCGCCCGUUCUUUUUUCGUGUUUUUUUUUCUGUGUUGCUAUUACUGUCUUGUCACCUCUUCUCUCAGCCCAGCCGAUUCCGUCGAGACGGAGAUGACUGUGGCCGAAGCAGAAGGGAGGGGACGAAAGAGGACGCCAAUGACCGGAGUAAUUCGUGAGCGAGUGCGUCGGCUGGGUGGGUGAAGGAGAGGAAGGAAAGCGACGGGUUAGGUGGGAGCCCAUGUAUCCAAUCGCUGGGCAUGGCAUACCCCCACCCCUUGUCGCUUCCACCUCUUUUUUUUGUAUCGUUGGCCUACUUUGCUUCUCUUUCGCCCUUUCUCUCUUUCACUCUCUCCCACUCUCGCUCUCACACCCAACCUACUCACGCUUCAGUUUUAUAUACAGGCAUCGACUGUCAUCACGCGCGCGCCGUUUCUUCUCUCCUGUUUUUCCUUUUCCCUUUUUUGUUUUCCUUGUGUAUCUUCUUCUUUUUCGCCUCUCCUCAUUUCGCCAUAUCUGCACCUCUGGGUGUCUGUGCCUGUGCGCGUCUUUGUGUCUGCGCGCCCCCCUCUCCUUUUUCUUUCUUGGAGGAGGGAGGAGAAGGGGUGGCCUGUCUUCCGUGCGUAUCGCUGCGUUCUCUGUUCUCGUCUUCUUCGUUGCGCUCCACCUUUGUUUUCGCUGUGCGCAGGUCCUCCUACCCUUCGCCGCGUUUUCUUACCCGUCCCGUGUCCUCUCGCGGCAUCGCCGGCUGGUGGAGGUCUCUUCCCCCCCCUCCCCCAAAAAAAAAAUAAAUAAAACCGCUACACUUAUGUGGGAGUGCACCACCUCGAUUUAAAGCCACCGGCGUCAGCCCGACAGCGGAGCGAGAGCGGAAACUGCCUGCGGUGUUGUCAUGCAUUUCUCCCGUAACAGCCUGUGACAAAAGACGGCGCGGAAAAGUUGACCGGCGACGGGGACGUGGCACAACAACCCACACUGUGAAGCAGGGAGGAGACCACACGCAAGAACAGGGCACUGAAAGCAGCUAGUGGGGUGGGUGGGUGGGUGGGGCAGAUCCAUCUUCGACGUCGUGGCACGAUAGAGAGGCUCCUUUCACCUACAAACUGAUAUUCGCUUGUGUGCGCGUAGGUCUGCGUGCGCGAAUGUCUGCCGUGCAAGUGGAAGAGGAUUGGCCUUCGCCAUGUAAAGACACUCCACGCACCUUUUUUGUUUAUUUACCAUGUGUGGGCACGCAUCGUUUUCCUCGCUCGAGACACAUCAGGCCUCGCCAGAGUGUUCCUCUUGAUUCUCAUGCCAACUCUCGCCGUGUAUGUGCGUGCUGUGUGUCCUGCGGCUUUGAACUCGCGUGCUGCGCUUGGACUGAGCAGACAGGUGCUGCAGUGAGAGAACACGGGCUGUGCUGGCGGUGGCGGAAAUAAAUCGAAGGAAACGAAGACAGAUAAGGUGUCAGCCUGAACGAGACACACAAAAGGGGCGCUGCACACCCUCUCAACUUCUUUUUCUUGGUUUCUUCCCCCUUAUGCGCCCUGUGAUCCUGAUGACGGGGGACACACUUCUGCGCGUGGCAUCAGGGUUCCGUACACCACUCUGUGGGGGACGCCAAGCGGCCUGCAGCCUGGCCCUGGGUGCUGGUUGCGGACUGUUGGUGUGGGCGGACAGAGGGCUGCGCUGGCGCUGCGCCGGAGACACUGGCGGGCGUGGCGGCACACGCGGGCAGGCCAUCCAGGCACGCCUCCCUCCCUCCCUCAGGCAGCAGUGCCGUGGUGGAACGGGCUCAUGGGCGCUGCCCCGGCUGGUGCGACGCGUGCAGCCCACGCAGGUGCGUGUGGCGCCGGUGGAGCAGCGCGCAUCCGGGGGAAGAGCGAGAGGAGCCUGCUAGGCGCGUGGCCCGGCUCGAUGGCGGGACGCCUCGUCCUGAAUCUCGAGGGCUGAGCCGUAUGCAUGCGAAGGUAGGUGAGCUGUGGCUGUAUCCGCAUGUGCGAGGGUCUGCUUGUGGUUUAAUGACGCUUUACUUUGCGCUUUCACUCACUGUGCUCAUUCUGCUUCACAG